rnacentral:rRNA from 1 species
GACGAACGCUGGCGGCGUGCCUAAUACAUGCAAGUUGAGCGAUGAAGAUUGGUGCUUGCACCAAUUUGAAGAGCAGCGAACGGGUGAGUAACGCGUGGGGAAUCUGCCUUUGAGCGGGGGACAACAUUUGGAAACGAAUGCUAAUACCGCAUAACAUCUUUAAACAUAAGUUUUAAGUUUGAAAGAUGCAAUUGCAUCACUCAAAGAUGAUCCCGCGUUGUAUUAGCUAGUUGGUGAGGUAAAGGCUCACCAAGGCGAUGAUACAUAGCCGACCUGAGAGGGUGAUCGGCCAAAUUGGGACUGAGACACGGCCCAAACUCCUAAGGGAGGCAGCAGUAGGGAAUCUUCGGCAAUGGACGAAAGUCUGGACGAGCAACGCCGCGUGAGUGAAGAAGGGUUUCGGAUCGUAAAAAUCUGUUGGUAGAGAAGAACGUUGGUGAGAGUGGAAAGCUCAUCAAGUGACGGUAACUACCCAGAAAGGGACGGCUAACUACGUG